rnacentral:misc_RNA from 1 species
GAUGAAGAACGUAGCGAAAUGCGAUAAGUAAUGUGAAUUGCAGAAUUCAGUGAAUCAUCGAAUCUUUGAACGCACAUUGCGCCCGCCAGUAUUCUGGCGGGCAUGCCUGUUCGAGCGUCAUUUCAACCAUCAAGCCCCAGGCUUGUGUUGGGGACCUGCGGCUGCCGCAGGCCCUGAAAACCAGUGGCGGGCUCGCUGUCACACCGGGCGUAGUAGAUUUUAUCUCGCUCAGGGCGUGCUGCGGGUCCCGGCCGUUAAAAGCCUUUUUUUACCCAAGGUUGACCUCGGAUCAGGCAGGAAGACCCGCUGAACUUAAGCAUAUCAAUAAGCGGAGGA